rnacentral:misc_RNA from 1 species
ACUGACUCGGUCCCAGCUGAACUCCCAUGAGAAUGGAGUAAAAGACAGAACUUGCAAGAGAGUGGAACUCUAGCCCAAUCACCCGGUACCGGACAACAAAAGCUUAGCAUCAGACUGUUAAGGGUAUUCUAAGCCGUUCUCUUCCCAUCUCAGGAACAGCAGCUCUCUGUUUUGAGAACACAGCCAUAAUGGUGAAUGUUCCCAAG